GGGUGUGUAUGGGACGGAAUGUUGGGGCUAGAGUGAGGCAGCUCAACUGCUAGAGUGAGAGGAGCAAAAAAAUUAAUCUUAAAAUCUUUUUUAAAACUGCUGCUGUGUCCGCAGCGUUUGCUCUACAGGUAUGAUUUUACCCUCAAAACGUAGCCAUCGCUGUCCUCUUUCAUCCAAUGUGUUUACUAUUGUCCUAGGUCUUAUGGUUCUUUCAUAAAUGUCACCAAUGCACAGCCUCCUCCCUCCAACUCUUCCAUAGACUCUAAUGUUAAAAUGGCUCAGAAGGUUCGUUUGAAAAUCAGAAGAGCAUGGUGUCUUUCCACUGUCACCACGUCCAUAUAAUAAACUCCACAGGCAUGAAAACUGAGAAUUCAGUAGACUAGAAGCUGCUGUCGCUCACGGUGAAAGAAUUUUGUCAAUACGACUUUUACUUUUCAUUUGGGAACGAUUUGUUUCGGCCUGACUUUUCUGUUCAUUUUAAGCAGCAAAAGUGAGGCGCAUGUCUGUGUACGUGUGUAUGGAGCCAUUGGGUGCAGUCACUAUAGCAACCAGGCUCACACCUGCCUGCUUAACGAGCUCUGCCUGCCACUGUACCAAGAUUCAUCUUUAGCACUUCUCUUUCAACUGCUGCUGUGUCCACAGUGUUACAGCCAUCAUUUUACCCUCAAAUUGUCGCCAUUAUUGUUCUCUUUCCAACACCGUAUCUUUCAAAGCUCAAGCAUUUAAACUUUUUAAACUGUGUGGAUCAAAGUGGAGGGAUCACAUUUGAGUCAUUCAGUGAUUCAAAGAAUAUGACCUUUUAAUAUUCAUUCAGAUGUUUUCUGACUCUAAAUGUUCUUUUCUCAUUUCUUAGGGUUUUCUAAUUUACAUUUAAAACAUUUUCAGUUUUUUUCCAACUCCUUCUUCUGUGUAACCUUCAGCUUUUAGCAGUUCAGCACCUUUGUUUUCAGGUUAAAUUCGUUUUUUUUUAGUUUUUUUUUAAUCUCAUUCAAUAUUUUUAACUCAAAAUUCAGCAAUUAAUUCAUUUCAGUGCAUACAUUCAGAUUCAAGCAUUCACACUGCAGUUUCUUCAGAAAAUGCACUUUCUAGUUAUUAUAUCAUCUUCCGUACGUUUUUUGGCAUCUAACUCCUUCAAAACCGUUCAACUUAGAAAAACCAUUCAAACACCGUUAGAUUCCUAUUAUUUUGGACAUGACUGCUUCUAUUUUUCUCAUUUCUAACAUUUAUAUUUUUAAUUUUAUUCAACUUUAUUCAACAAAAAUUUCCCAUGUAUUUCAAUGGGGAGACCCUUCAAAUUCUCAUUCAACUUACUCAUUUUUAAACUCUUACUACUUCCACAUACAUUGACAUAGAGCCACCAUUCAAACUUUAAAACGAAGACAAGACAUUCAACUAUUCAACUUGUAUUUAUCUUUUCAAUAUCUAUUAUACUUUUUCUUCAGUUCCAGUUUAAGUUUCAUGAUGUUUUUUCAGCCGUUUCAGAGUUUAUAAUGGGUGUGUAUGGGACGGAAUGUUGGGGCUAGAGUGAGGCAGCUCAACUGCUAGAGUGAGAGGAGCAAAAAAAUUAAUCUUAAAAUCUUUUUUAAAACUGCUGCUGUGUCCGCAGCGUUUGCUCUACAGGUAUGAUUUUACCCUCAAAACGUAGCCAUGGCUGUCCUCUUUCAUCCAAUGUGUUUACUAUUGUCCUAGGUGUUAUGGUUCUUUCAUAAAUGUCACCAAUGCACAGCCUCCUCCCUCCAACUCUUCCAUAGACUCUAAUGUUAAAAUGGCUCAGAAGGUUCGUUUGAAAAUCAGAAGAGCAUGGUGUCUUUACACUGUCACCACGUCCAUAUAAUAAACUCCACAGGCAUGAAAACUG
ensembl:lncRNA